rnacentral:rRNA from 1 species
CCCUAUGGGGUGCAUCAACGGCGGCGGGCAGCCCAUUCAGAAAACCGGCUCUUCGUGGAUCGAUGCCGUCCGUCCCUGGUUUGCCUGGAAAUAACCAUCUAAAGGAGAAUAAUUAUGUCUGACCAAGAUUACAAAUAUAUAGAAAAUCCGCUUCAUGUAACACGAAGAGAGUUUAUUACCAUUACGGGAAUCGGAAACGCUUUUCUGGCCUUGCCCGCCAUAUGGAUCAAAUCUGUGGCGGCGUCAAACAAUGAUUAUAUCAAAGCGCGCACGAAGAAUCUUUACAUGGAUGAUGUUAAAUCCAAAAUUCGCGUCAGCCACGCGAAGAAGUCAGUAGCCCGGGACUAUAAGGAAUUGGCGGGAGGGC